CAAAAGGCGCGGAAAGACAUUAGUAGAAGGGCUGUCUUAUGUUUUCAGAGAGUCGGUGGGUGGUGCGAACCGAUAACAGGCCCCUUUGAAUUACAGUCUGGAGCUGUCCGGGGGAAGGGCUAGAAGCAUACGCUCCUGCUAAGUAGUCCGGCACCGGGUGCAAUCCCGUUAUGGCAAUGAAGUGGAAAUCUUUGGCUGCGCUGCGGCGUAACAAGGAUUUUAAUUAGGGUGGUACCGCGAGUCUCUUUCUCGUCCCUUGG
rnacentral:ncRNA from 1 species